rnacentral:tRNA from 6 species
GGGCUGUUAGCUCAGUUGGUUAGAGCGCCUGCUUUGCAAGCAGGAGGUCGUCGGUUCGAAUCCGACACAGUCCA